UGACCUCUCCACCACUCAUCCAUAUUGUGUUCAGGUGGUUGCUGUUUCAAACCAAAGACAACCAAAGAGGGUCUGAGGCUCUUUGAGAUUGAGACUGUUCUCUCUUUGGAGCAGAGGACACUGAAAGAAAAACUUGACCCGUCUUCCAUCAGUGAGGAUAUCUUGAAAACAAUCUUCGCUACUCACGGGUAUGACGAAUCUCCAGAGACGUCCAUGCCAAGCCAGUUAAACAGCAAAGUGACAGUGACAGAGUGCACUCUGAAAAAGAGGAUAUCCGAGUUAAAACCACGGGAUUAUUUUCGCGAGAAGGACAAACGUAUCAUGGCGGAGCUGAGGAGUCUGCAUUGUGACCCUCAUCCCUUCUUCAGAGUCUUUCCAUCAGAGUCAGACUUCACGUUCUGGAAGAU